AAUUCUCGACCACACAGUCCAGCGUAUUUACGAAUAUCUUGAAAUGGCGACCAUUUCUACAAUUAUUAAAUUUUUCGAAAACUCGAAAGUAGGAGUGGAAGAAUUACUUAUCUCAAAUGGGAUUGGUAAUCCAUUGGUAUCGUCCAAUUCCAUUUGUGAGGUCUUCUCUCCACCACUUGGAGUAGAUUCCGAAUAGAAUUCCUGACAAAGAAAAAAAAUCCUCACAAGAAGCUUUGAAAAACCUACUUUAGAUGGCUCUUAAAUUAAGAAUACUUUUUGACGGCUCAAAAGUAUGUACUACAAAUUACGAGUCAUCGAAAGUUCCAAAAAUAUGUACUUUCGAGCGCUGAAAGUCCAAAUAAUUCAUGUGCAUAAACAUC